UAAAAUUUAUAAAAUUAGGUAGUAAAGAAAUUUCUGAAACCUAAAGAAUUUGGCGGUAUUUUAAAUAAUUGGAGGAACCUGUUAUUUAAUUGACAAUCCACAACAUAUCUUACCUAAAUUUUAUUUGUAUAUCGUCGUUUUGAUAAUAUUUAAAAAUUAUGAUCAAUUUUAAUAAAUUUUUUAAAUUCAGGUCAAGGUGCAGUAUAUUUAGGUCAUAAUGGGUUACAAUAUAUUUAUAUAUAAUGAAUAUAAACUUGAAAAUUAUAUUGAAAGUGGAUUCAAAAGUAAAAUUAAAUUAAAAAGUUAAUUUGAUUAAUAAUUUAAAAUAUGC
rnacentral:rRNA from 1 species